rnacentral:tRNA from 1 species
GUCAGGAUGGUCUAGUGGUCUGCAGUGCCAGACUCAAGCAGUAAUUGUUUAGCCACAGUGUAGGCUUUUCUGGUUUACGAAUGUGGGCGUGGGUUCGAAUCCUACUUCUGACA